rnacentral:rRNA from 1 species
AGUGAACGCUGGCGGCAGGCCUAAUACAUGCAAGUCGAACGGCAGCACAGCAGAGCCUGCUCUGUGGGUGGCGAGUGGCGGACGGGUGAGGAAUACGUGGGAAUCUGCCCAGUCGUGGGGGAUAACGUAGGGAAACUUACGCUAAUACCGCAUGCGCCCUUCGGGGAAAGCCGGGGACCUUCGGGCCUGGCGCGAUUGGAUGAGCCCACGUCGGAUUAGCUAGUUGGCGGGGUAAAGGCCCACCAAGGCGACGAUCCGUAGCUGGUCUGAGAGGAUGAUCAGCCACACUGGAACUGAGACACGGUCCAGACUCCUACGGGAGGCAGCAGUAGGGAAUAUUGGACAAUGGGCGCAAGCCUGAUCCAGCCAUGCCGCGUGAGUGAAGAAGGCCCUCGGGUUGUAAAGCUCUUUUGUCCGGAAAGAAAAGCGCCGGGUUAAUACCCUGGUGUCCUGACGGUACCGGAAGAAUAAGCACCGGCUAACUUCGUGCCAGCAGCCGCGGUAAU